rnacentral:rRNA from 1 species
CCCUUAGAUGUCCGGGGCUGCACGCGCGCUACACUGAAGGGAUCAGCGUGCUAAAACCAUUGUCGAAAGGCAUUGGUAAACCCAUUAAAAUCCUACGUGAUUGGGAUCGGGAAUUGCAAUUAUUUCCCUUGAACGAGGAAUUCCCAGUAAGUGUGGGUCAUAAGCUCGCGUUGAUCACGUCCCUGCCCUUUGUACACACCGCCCGUCGCUGCCCGGGACUGAGCCGUUUCGAGAAAAGCGGGGACUGCUGCUGUCGGGGCUUUCGGGCCUUGGCUUCGGUGGAAACCGCUUUAAUCGCANUNGCUUGANCCGGGCAAAANUCGUANCA